rnacentral:rRNA from 1 species
UACGUAGGGUGCAAGCGUUGUCCGGAAUUAUUGGGCGUAAAGAGCUCGUAGGCGGUUUGUCGCGUCUGGUGUGAAAAUCCAGGGCUUAACCCUGGACCUGCAUCGGGUACGGGCAGACUAGAGUGCGGUAGGGGAGAUCGGAAUUCCUGGUGUAGCGGUGAAAUGCGCAGAUAUCAGGAGGAACACCGAUGGCGAAGGCAGGUCUCUGGGCCACUACUGACGCUGAGAAGCGAAAGCGUGGGGAGCGAACAGG